GAGACAGCAGCAGCCACGGUAAUACAGAGGGUGCGAGCGUUAAUCGGAUUUACUGGGCGUAAAGCGUGCGUAGGCGGCUAAUUGAGUCGGAUGUGAAAUCCCCGAGCUUAACUUGGGAAUUGCAUUCGAUACUGGUUAGCUAGAGUGUGGGAGAGGAUGGUAGAAUUCCAGGUGUAGCGGUGAAAUGCGUAGAGAUCUGGAGGAAUACCGAUGGCGAAGGCAGCCAUCUGGCCUAACACUGACGCUGAGGUACGAAAGCAUGGGGAGCAAACAGGAUUAGAUACCCGCGUAGUCCCUGUCUCUUAUAC
rnacentral:rRNA from 1 species